GAGAAUGAUAACUUGCGACGAAGUGACAUAUGAUGUUAUAGUGACGGCACACCCAAAAUAUGGACCAUAUUUGAACAAAAAAAUUGAUUUUUAUGAUGAGAUGGCUCUUGUUGUUGGUCAAGAUAUGACAACAGGGAGUUUUGCUAGAACCUUUGCUGAUAUAGAGUUGGAUGAUGUUAAUGAAGGUUCAAUGCCGUUAAAUAUCGACACUCAAGAUAUCGAUGAGGAAAAAACAAAAUUAUCUUCAUCUGGUACAUCAAAACGCAAAAG